CGGUGUUAAUAUUCACGAGUACAGCAAUUUCCGUAUAGAUAAUUAAAGGCAAAUGUGUGAUCCUUGAUUUUUGUGUUCGUAAAAAGGCGAAGAAAUAUUUACAUACGUGGCAGUGUUAACAAAAUCUACAAGUAUAAAUACAUAUUGGUCAAUCAAUUUUUCCCAAAUUAAGUUUAGAGAGGGGGUGUGGGGGUCAGUGAAAAAACUAUGCGAAUUAAGUUUCUUAUCCUUCAUUGAACUUUUGAUGUCGUCCCUUAAACGGGCUCGGACAUUUACCAAAAUAAAUAAAAUCAUUACAGCUGAUUUCCUAAUGCUUGCAAAGUAAAACUUUGGUUGGCUUGCUUGCUUUGUGUGUAUAGUUGUUUAUACAAGCUUUGAAAAUAAGAUUGGCAUCUUUAAACAAUAUAUGCAUGCAUAGUUUAACUUGUAUAUUUUAUAUUUGAAUUUAAUUCUUCUCCUUUUAUAUAUUAUAUUGGGCCGGUUAUAUUUUUUUCUGUUUUUUUUUUUGUUUGGAUUGUUUUACACAAGUUAUUUUGGGGUUAUUUAUAGCGUACUUUUCGGCACUGAACCUAUGACUGCUUACUUUACUAGAUUGUGUCUUUUUUGGAAAGAUGUCUCAUUUGGAACUCAUACCGCAUCUUCUCAUUUCUAUAUACAAAGCACGUUUUAGAAUAAAAAU
rnacentral:lncRNA from 1 species